CCGUCCUCUCCCGAGCCCACUCUCCGCCGCCGCCGCCGCCGCCACCGCAGGUUAUUCCGGCCAUCUCCCCCGCCACCGAGCACUGCGCUCGCUCCUUCUUGCUCUCCUCUCUCGUCCCCACGUCAUCCCCUGCAUCCCCGCUCUGCUUAGGCUAACCCUAGCCGCAUCUGGUUCCAACGUGGCGGCGCCAUGGACGUGUGUGGCUGAUGCGGUGGUGCGGCUUUGAUAGUGCUGCCGUAGUCUCCCGCACUUGGGAGGAGGUUCCGGUGGUGCGAAGAGCAUGGACAUGCUUGGUACGGAGCUCCAUCAGCUAGGUCGUGAGUCCCCCGUGUUCCUCUUCCGGCAGAAGGCGGCGCUCUCCUCCGCGUUCUUCUCCUCGAGCGGAGGCACCGGAGGGGAGACAGCUAAGGAGUUCGGCAACCUCGUGUUGUUCCUCAACUAACUUGCACGCUUCUAUCCAGAGGACCUUGCCGAUCUGGCCGACCAUAUUUCGGGCCUGCUCGGCACCAAUGUCCACGUGCUGCCUUCAUGACUACUGGAGCAGGCGCUGAUGCUGCUUUUCAACGGGAAGCUCACUAAAUGGAGGUGGAUUGGUAGCACAUUUGGAGAGUUGAUAGCAUAUUUAUCCAUUCUCCUCCCCUUGCUCUCUUGUUGCUAAUACAACAGUGUAUCUCGCAGGAGGUUGAGCUGAAAGGUGGGGUUGUCCUUAUAUAUGCAAAUAAACAGUUUGGACUUGUAUAAGAUAUGCACUGACAUAUAGUUGUUACGAUUGGUGAUACUUUCUCUCUGGAGUUACCCAAGUCAUUCUGGUGAGGUAACUAGCCCCCAGAUUUUGUGACCUGUACCAUAUGUAUAGCAAGUCUUGGGCCCCUGGAUUUAUGUAUAUUGUUAGGGUAAUGGGUUAACUAAUGGGUUGUUGGUUAUCCGCCACAGAUGAGCUAGCCAGGCUUUACUUUCUCAGGCGAGUGUUCAUUUUAUCGCAAACUUGUCACAAACGCCACUUUUAUAGCACGCUACCCUGAGCUCUAGAUUGAAUAUCUUGCCAAAUCUUGUCACACUUACGGCCAGUAACUUGCUCCUCACCAGAUUGUGGUUUGUAACAUAUUCGGCAUACUGUUUUGGCAAAACAUCGCACCGAUCAAAUUUACCCUAAGCCCUAAGGCUGUUAUAUUCAGAUUAUUUGAUAUUCUUUACUUGCCUAAUUGAUAUAAUCAGAAUGAACAGUUUACAUCUAUGUAGCAAGGGUUAGAAUUUCUACGAUGUAGCAGGAUACAUCCAGAUUUAUAAAUUUAUUCUCUCCCUUGGUGUGAUAAUUGUCUGGUCUGCCUUAUUUUUGCAUUUUCUUACAACAACGACAUCGAAGCCUUUUUUGGCAAGCAAGUUGGUGUAGGCUAUUUUUGCACUUUCUUAGUGUUUUAGAAAUUGUAGUGUUCCUUGGUCCUUCACUGCAAAUUCAAGCAAAGGGAAGACUUGACCAUUAGGCUAGCUGAAUGUCGUUGUACGUAGUCUUGCUAAAUGUCAAACGUUAGGCUAGUUUAUUUUUUCAGAUUUUCUUGAAGUAAAUGUGGAUAAUUUAUGACUGUGUUAAUAUCAGAGAGCUUCUGUCAGCCUGGUACUUGAGGGUUGAGGCAAGUGGCUUCAAAUGAAUCUUGAUGCAUAUUAGGGUAGCAAGGCUCGCAGUCGAUAUGUUUUGUGUUAUAGUUGCUCGAUAAUUCUUUGUGUGAGAUUGUUUGGUAUAUAACAAAAUGGCAAUGAAUCACUGGCAAUAUCUGCAGAAAGAAUCUGAAGUAUGCAUUCUUUAUCUUCAAGUUGCUAUUGCCUUUUCCUUACUCAGCCUUCUCCAGCUGAGAUACAUAGUAUGGGGGCGCACCAUUUCUUUCCACAGUAUCUCCUAUCAGCCAUGAUCAAUCUAUGUUUCUUCAUAAAAAAACAUAUUUAUUUGGAACUUCAGUGUUUUGUUUACCAUGCUCUCCAUCUCCAAGGUAUACAAAACACUAACCCCUCCUUCAUCCAUCCAUGGCCACAUGGUGAGUUCUGGUAUGAAGACGGAUGAUGGGGAGCAGGAUUCUGCAUUUUUGAUGGCUAAUUUUGGGUUCUGCGUUUUGAUUUGAAGGGAUCGUGACGAGGAGCCCAUUAGUUCUGCACCUGCACAAGACGGAGGAAGGGGAGCAGGGUUACUCCCAGUGCCUUCAUAUGCCCAAGCGACGGUUCACUGAUUUCGGUCCAUUCAAUGACAUAAACUGACUGGGAAAAUUCCAAAGUAACCGGCCUCAUACACUACCUCACAUACCGGUAUUGCCGGCACUGCAUACGUGUCAGCUCCUGGUCUUUUCAAAUUCUUAUGUCAAGACCUGGGUGAAAAAAGUUAGCUUUGAAACAAUAUCGAUAUUUCGAUACAAGAUAUGAUGGUACUGUGCUGACAUUGGAGGAACAAGCAGCGAAUCGGGAACAAAUGAGGAAAAUUGAGAACCUUUGGUCAGACAAGUAAGAUGGAAGCCAGUUAGAUGAACCCUAUUAGAUGAACCUUGUUGUGUAUUUUAUCUAAUGGUUUCAAACCAUGUUGUUCAUGAUGUGGAGAUGAACCCUAUUGGUCAUGUAAGUUAGAUGCCUCGAUUGUGAACCCUUGAAUGUUUCAGAAUGUUGGUUUGAGACCUAGACUGCUUGGAAA